UGCAACCUGAGCUCAGUCGUGACUACCCGCUGAACUUAAGCAUAUCACUUAGCGGAGGAAAAGAAACUA
rnacentral:rRNA from 6 species